CCCUGACCAAUUAAUGUUCGUUAUUUUCCUUCAUUAAUAAAUUUCUCCAGCAGAACGACACCACACCUCGUAAAGUCCAGCAUCGUUCGCGGUCACUUAAUCGGCAACACGGGUCAUCGGGAACUAUUUAAUUGCUUUCCUAGCCAAGUUGGUCCAUUAUCUGGCACGCUUUCCCCAUAAUUUCAAGGACAAUGAGGCAAUUAACGGUGAAUAAAUAGAGCUCGCAAAAACCUUUCCUCAACACAAGAAAAACCAAUCACGGGAUAACACUACAUAUACCACCGCAAUUAAACUUUCAGAAACUUGUCACCAUGACAAUGUCUAAGCAGAUCAUCUUUUUCGCCAUGGUUCUCACGCUUUCGCUCUUCUUCACCUGCGCCACGGCCGGGCGAGCCUGCAACAACGGGGCGUCCAACUGUCUUGCCUGCGUCUGCAAUGAGUGGGACGAUACGGCUGUUUGUUGCACAGGCGAAUUUAACGGGAGCAACGGAAACUGCGAGGGCAUCCUCAAAGGAAAGAAUGGCCCCUUCAAAAAGUGCUGCGGAGGAAAGCGUGGCUUUGGAAGGUGCUGGUAGAUGCAUGACCAUGCCAACAGAAAAUGUCUGUCUUCAAUUCCAUUUCAUGUGAAUAUUUGGACGCAAAAAUUGAAAUGUGCAAAUUACCUUUGUUGCAAUGAUAUUAUAAUUUUAUGUAUCAGCUCAACACUAAUUGAUAAAAGUAUUGGUCCAACCAGUCGAAAUGAAAUAUUAUCCAAUAUUAUCCAUAAAAUAUUAUAUUAUCUUGUGACAGAAUUCUUAACCGGUUGGAUCGUCUUCUCGUCAAAUUGAUUAAAUAAAUAAAUUUCCUAAACAAGUA